UACGGGGGGGGCAAGCGUUGUUCGGAAUUACUGGGCGUAAAGGGCGCGUAGGCGGCCUGUUAAGUCGAACGUGAAAUCCCUCGGCUUAACCGGGGAACUGCGUCCGAUACUGGUUGGCUUGAGUUUGGGAGAGGGAUGCGGAAUUCCAGGUGUAGCGGUGAAAUGCGUAGAUAUCUGGAGGAACACCGGUGGCGAAGGCGGCUCUCUGGACCGAGACUGACGCUGAGGCGCGAAAGCGUGGGGAGCAAACAGG
rnacentral:rRNA from 1 species